rnacentral:rRNA from 1 species
UAUCCUGGCUCAGAUUGAACGCUGGCGGCAUGCCUUACACAUGCAAGUCGAACGGUAACAGGUCUUCGGAUGCUGACGAGUGGCGAACGGGUGAGUAAUACAUCGGAACGUGCCUAGUAGUGGGGGAUAACUACUCGAAAGAGUGGCUAAUACCGCAUGAGAUCUACGGAUGAAAGCAGGGGAUCGCAAGACCUUGUGCUACUAGAGCGGCCGAUGGCAGAUUAGGUAGUUGGUGGGAUAAAAGCUUACCAAGCCGACGAUCUGUAGCUGGUCUGAGAGGACGAUCAGCCACACUGGGACUGAGACACGGCCCAGACUCCUACGGGAGGCAGCAGUGGGGAAUUUUGGACAAUGGGCGCAAGCCUGAUCCAGCAAUGCCGCGUGCAGGAUGAAGGCCUUCGGGUUGUAAACUGCUUUUGUACGGAACGAAAAGCCCUGGGUUAAUACCCUGGGGUCAUGACGGUACCGUAAGAAUAAGCACCGGCUAACUACGUG